rnacentral:rRNA from 1 species
CCUACGGGCGGCAGCAGUGGGGAAUAUUUGGCAAUGGGCGCAAGCCUGACCCAGCAACGCCGCGUGAAGGAAGAAGGCUUUCGGGUUGUUAACUUCUUUUUUCAGGGACGAAGCAAGUGACGGUACCUGAGGAUUAAGCCUCGGCUAACGAUGUGCAAGCAGCCGCGGUAAUACGUUGGUGGCAAGCGUUAUCCGGAUUUGCUGGGUGUAAAGGGCGUGUAGGCGGGAACGUAAGUCAGAUGUGAAAACCAUGGGCUCAACCUGUAGUCUGCAUUUGAAACUGUUUUUCUUGAGUACAGGAGAGGCAGACGGAAUUCCAAGUGGAGCGGUGAAAUGCGUAGAUAUAAGGAGGAACACCAGUGGCGAAGGCGGUCUGCUAGACAGCAACUGACGCUGAGGCGCGAAAGCGUGGGGAGCAAACAGGAUUAGAUACCCGAGUAGUC